rnacentral:rRNA from 1 species
AUUGAACGCUGGCGGCAGGCCUAACACAUGCAAGUCGAGCGGCAGCGGGAAAGUAGCUUGCUACUUUUGCCGGCGAGCGGCGGACGGGUGAGUAAUGCCUGGGAAAUUGCCCAGUCGAGGGGGAUAACAGUUGGAAACGACUGCUAAUACCGCAUACGCCCUACGGGGGAAAGCAGGGGACCUUCGGGCCUUCGGCGAUUGGAUAUACCCAGGUGGGAUUAGCUAGUUGGUGAGGUAAUUGCUCACCAAGGCGACGGUCCCUAGCUGGGAUGAGAGGAUGAUCAGCCACAAUGGAACAGAGACACGGUCCAGACUCUUACGGGAGGCAGCAGUGGGGAAUAUUGCAAAAUGGGGGAAACCCUGAUGCAGCCAUGCCGCGUGUGUGAAGAAGGCCUUCGGGUUGUAAACGCCUGUCACUAAAGAACAAGGAUGCUUGUGCUAAUCAGCAGACAUUUGAUGGUAUGUGGAGAGGAAGGGACGGCUAACUCUGUGCCAGCAGCCGCCGUAACAC